CGCUCUUCCGAUCUCUUGAAUAGCCAAAUGCCUCGUCAUCUAAUUAGUGACGCGCAUGAAUGGAUCAACAAGAUUCCUACUGUCCCUAUCUACUGUCUAGCGAAACCAGACAGUAGAUAGGGAGACGGAGAUUAUAUACCCAAAUAUAUCUUCCCUAUCUACUGUCUGGU
rnacentral:ncRNA from 1 species